UAUUUGUAGGUGUAAUAAUAUUGCUAGUGGAACAUGCAAAACUUGAAAUAAAUAAUAAAAAAAUAGAAACAUUUACUUACGCCAUAUCAACAACUCGUUCAUUUUCUUGAGGAGCAAGGGCCAUUACAGGCAAAAAGGAGCUUGCACUUUGAAGCUGAGUAAGCAAAUUUUAAUAAUAAAUAAAUCAUUAAACCAUCAAAUUUGCCAUGAAAAUUGAAACCACAGAACAAUAAAAACUCAAAAACCACCUACCAUGUAAUAACCAGCCAUAUAUUCUGGGGUGGCACCAACUGGAACUUGUGAUUCAUACACAACCAGUCCAACCUGCAGUAAGAAUUUGAAAUUGAUGAGAAACCAGAACGAGAACAAGUAAUGCAGGAAAAAGAAUGUGAAGUAAUCCUUACUUUUGACCACUUGCUUAAGGGAUCUAGGUUUACUCCUCUGUUUAUCAAACUAGCUGCCAAAUCCCUCCUUCGUGUCUAUGCAAAAAUGGAAAAUAACAUUGAUAAGAAUACAAACUCUUCAAAAGAAAACACCAGAAUGAAGUCACAUCAUGUUGGUUUUUUUCACCUUUAGAGUGUUAGUUCGGAGACACAUAGGUCGAGGCUUUUCAAAAGCUUCUAUGAGCUCCACAAGUUCAACAACCGGAAACAUCUAAAAAAGCAAAAUGCAAGACUGAUAAGUUACCCAAAAAAACAAAGAAACUAAAGCUCCUCAGUACAAAACAGCUGCUUUAAAGAAUCAAUCAGUCACCUCUACUAAAGCUCCAAUCAGAAACUCAUUGUAGCCAUAGUAUGAGCUUAAAUCUCUCUUAAGCUGUUCAACAUAAUCCUUCCUUGAUGCCCCCUCUUUUGGCCUCAAUGCCUUGAAAUUCGAGAGCACUCGAACAACUAUUAUAAAACAUCAGAAUUAGGCCCCAACAAACAUUAACCACUUAGGAAUUAGCCAAAUAUAUAAUAUACAGAAACAACUUACUCUCUUUUAUCCUCCUCUGGAGGUUUGAAAUAUCAGGAGGUUGAUGUGCCUCAUCUUCAAGUUCCUACAUCAUUAACCAAAAUGAAAAUUUGGGCAUGAUAAAUAACAUCGAGACAUAAUCAAUUAAUAUUCCAAAGAAGCAAACCUUCUGCGUUGGUAAUCUGAACUCAUCAGAUUCAUCCUUAAUAUUCAAUUCCAGUUCCUUUCUACCUUCUUCCUCUUCCAAUCUCGUUUUUUCGUCAAUGCGCCUUGAUUUCUUCUCUAUAUCACCGGCGUUGGAAUCUGAAUCCGACUCCGAAGAACCUUUCUCUACAACAAAACAAUUUAUAUACGAUGUUAAAAACACUGCUGAGAACAAAAUCAAUAACAGAAUCCAAAAAUGAACAAGUGCUUAGUACCAUCAUCAUCUUCAUCUUCGUCACUUCCUGGAAGGGACUCGUUGUCGUCGUCGUCGUCUUGGAGGGGAUCAUCCCCACCGAAAAUGUCAGCGUCACUAUCAGAACCAGAUCCUUCCUCAUCUCCUCCAUCAAACUCUUCAUCAAGUUCCUCUAUCUCUUCUUCUUCAUCAUCAGAAGAAGGCUCGAAGACUUGCUCGACUUUCUUGGGCUUCUUUGGAUUUUUGGCAGAGAAAGGCUCCUUCUUUUGCUUCUUAUUGGGGGAAGCCUUCUGGGGUUUUGGCCCCUUUCUCUUGUUGAGCGCAGAGGUGCCCAUUACUGUUGAAGAGCUGCCGGGAUCGGCUGCCGGAGUUGACUUGAAGAAAUCGAGAGAGAGAAGGGGGGUUGGGUUGAGAGUGUGAAUUUAGGGUUUAGGGUUUUGGUGUGGGAGGCGGGAGGAGAUAUUAUUAUUGUCUAGGUUUUACGGGAAAUCUCAGGGCACCCGCGCCUCUACUAGUUACACUGACCUUUACUUUCUUCUUCCCAUUCUAUCCUCCACAAUAAGACGGCCCUAAUUUUUUUUUUUUUUUUGAUUGAAACGGAACUAUCAUUAAUAUAAACUAAAAUCAAAGACUAAAAUUUCGACUUUCGAGAAAAUUUUAAAGGUUAAAAAUAGUCGAAAUAUCGGAAAGUAUUGAUAUUUAGAAAUGAAAGAUAAAAGGAUUGUGAAAAUAUAUAGUUAGGUUAUAUAUAAAAAUGUCCUAAAUAUUACUCAAAUGUCAACUUAGCACGAUUGGAUAAAGUGUUUGGAUGACAAUGAGACAAUCGAGGUUUGAUUCACAUGGGUAAACCCUUGAUUUUUCUCGAUGAGCCACCAAAAGAGAUCAAACUCUCUCAUCAUAACUCUAAUUGCAUCAAGAACUCCUCCAAUGUUGCUCAAAUCUCAUCCAUUAACUUCAAGUCCAUUCAACACAUUAAGAGCAUCACCCUUCACCAAGAGACUUGUUAGAGCAUCUCCAACAGCUUCUCCAUUUUCUUGAACUUCUUAAUUUUGGGGAAUAUAGAGCUGCUUUUAGGUUCAACAGUUUCCCCAUCACAUUCUCCAAAAUGGGGAUGAAGAAGAAAAAAAAGUCUUCAUUCCCUAAAUUUGCAGCAAAGUCUUCCUUCCCCAAAAUUAAAUUCUUCACAUACUCCAACGAAUUUAAAACAACAAUAAAAUAUUUGAUUGGGUAGUUUAUUGUUACAAUGAAAUAUAUAAUGUUUUUUUGUUAUAAUUCAUGAUGAUAUAUUAUAUUUUAUUGUUGUAUUAAAUGCCGAAAUCUCCAAAAUAGAGAAGCUGCUGGAUUUUGAUCAUAAUUUUUUUUGGAGAAUUUAGCUUUUACUUUCCCAUUUUAGAGAAAUUUUGGAGAUACUGUUGGAGAUGCUCUUACACCCAGUUGUUUGCAGUAAUUAAGGCCAUACCAGAGUGGAAGAGCUUUUGUUGCUUCCGGAGUGAGAGGGAAAGGAAAUGGCACAUAGAGGCCCCCCCCCUCCCCCCGGUUAAACUUCCUGUUACACUAAACAAUGCCAAUCUAAGGCCAACUUUCCCAUUCUCUUUGUCCACCGCACCAUCAAAGUAUAUUAUUGGGCAACAAUUAUCACCAACCUCAGUUUCUAUCCUCACCUCUUAGUUUCCAUAUUGACAUGUUGUUUUGAUUCCUUAUGAUAAGUAAACAGUAUAAUAGAAUGAAAUAUUCUCAUAUCGAUUUUUAUUGAUACCAAUUCAUGAUAAUUUUCAUUCCAAGUUAGUAAACGUGCCCUAAGUGUUUUUCUUUCAUUGUGUGCGUGUUGAUCUGAGAGAUCCUGAGACGGAACCAACAUUUCUCUAUUAUGCGACCCGGUAUUGUCAUCGAUUUUGAUCAAUUUUGGCUCUUGGCAGCUCCAAUCCUCCAUUCGUUGUUGAAGGCCACUAACCACGACUAACCUCUUCAUUAGCUCUCACUUAUGAUUCCAAAAUGUUCUUACCAGCAACUUCAUUACAAACUGAAAACAAUAAUUGACAUGCACCCAUCGGUCAUUGACAACUUCUCUCAAAAGUGACAUCUAGUUUGUUGACCAACAACUCGGAUAUGUUAUUGGCCGACUAACCACCUCACAUUCACAUAUGAACACAAACAUAAUAUAAAUUAUGAUUAAAUAUUUGUGACACUUUAUACUUUGCACCCUAAAAAUAUAUUGUGAUCCUUGUGGAUGAAAAAUUAGGAUCAAAUCUUUUAAAAAAAAAUUGGAUUAAAGAGUAUGUAUAUGUGGAACAUGAUACUUAAACAUAAUUCCAAAAGACAUGUAGUAGAUAUCUAAGCUCUUUGACAUAAACUAUUCAGCAUUAUCAAGUUUUAUAGAUUUAAUGGGAUGAUCCAUGUAGUGAUAUGUAUACCUGGUGGUCUAUCACUCUUCCUUAGCGAAGCCACGACUCUAGCCUCACUCUUAAGCCAUCAAAAUCUCAAAAAACGGUUACCAUGCAUUUUUAUGAUAACAAUAUCAUGCAAUUUUCAAAUAUGUAUUGACAUUCUAUAAAAAAAAUCACUAAUCAAGGGAGUUAUGGGUCCCUUACCAGGAAUCCGAGGCUUUCCUCACGAACUCCUAGAAUCACGAGCAUUUCGCUUCUCGGGUAAUUACUUGAUUCCUUAACAUUCGACAUAUAAUUGUAAAUAACUCAUCGAUGACAUGUAUAUUAUAAAGUCAGGAGGACUAAAUAAACAUCUGACCAACUUUGUCGUGUGUUUGACCAAUUGAUACUGCAAUACCCCGGAAAUUUAUCGAGCUUAUUAUAUCAAGAUCGUUAGAAGAUAAUUUUACGAUCUUAGUUAUUAAGUUAGUGCACGAGAGUAUUUUUUAUAAAUUUUUAUCAGGUGAAAACCUUGAUAUUAGAGUUUGAUAUUAAAGUAUGAGAAAUUUUAAAUACACACCCUUAAUAUCUUAAUACACACCCCUUACUUAAUACACCACCUAUCAAGUUUUUCAUUUCAGUAUUAUACUUAAUACACAUCCCAAACUGCCUAAAAUGCCCUGAAUUUAUGAAAUAUUCCGUUAUUUAAUAUAAUUAAUAUAUAUUUACUAUUUGGUACCUCUUUUUACAUAUUAUUUCGUCUAAUUUUUGCUAGAAAUUUGUAGUUAUCAUCGUUCAAUUUAUAAUCAAAUGAUUAUUAUUAUAUCCCAACUCCAAAUCACCAAUACAAGUUUUCAAAAUUCACAAACUAGUACAAGUGUAGAAGUACAAUAGCUAUUUAACAUAAAUAGCUAGUUAUUCGAUAAAACAUGUCAUGAUAAAAAUGCAGUACUUGACAAUAUGAUCUACAAGAUCAAACUAAAGCUGAUAAAGAUAUAGUACUUGACAAUAUGAUCUGUAAGAUCAAACUAAAGCUGAUACGGAUAUAAAAAAAUAAAAUAAAAAAAACAACUCAAAUAAAUUGUGGAGAAGAAUUGGGGUUAGGGGAGAAGACGUGUUUUCGACUAUUUUAGGGUAGAAGACGUUGAAAAGAAUACUUCUAGAGUGAUUUUUUUUUUUAAUAAUAGAUGUAUGUUUUGGUCAUUUAGCUUACCUAUAAAAUCUCAAUAGAAACAUAAAACAAUAGGGGUGUGUAUUAAGAGAUUAGGGGUGUGUAUUUAAAAUUUCUCUUAAAGUAUGUGCCAUCACGAGUUUGUAAAAAUUUUCGUGGAAUUUUCCGGGAUAUUGAGCUAUUUUUGUAUGAAUUUUCGAAGUUUUAAAAUAUUAGAAAUUAUUUAGAAAUUAAGAAUAUUUAGAUUAAGUCGUAGAAAAUUCUAAAUAAUUUAUAACUAAGCGGUCACAAAUAUAACUAAGUGGUCAUUUCCACAUUACUCAUUUUUCUUCUUUCUUCUUUUUACUAAUAUAUUGCUAAGUUACAUAAGUAAUAAUAUAUGUUUUGGUUUGAUUGGCUCUGUAGAAAGGAUGCAAGGCGAAAUCAGAUGUGCCAAGACUAGAUCAACUCUAUAGUGCUACGUACACAAGAUUGUUAUCUAUUACUGUUUUUGUAAUAGCUCCCCUGACAUUAUAACAUAUGCAUCAACUCUAUAGUGCUACGUACACAAGAUUGUUGUCUAUUACUGUUUUUGUAAUAGCUCUACUGACAUUAUAACAUAUGUGACUACAAUCAACAUAGUACAUAUGUGACUUUUAUUUUCUGAUUGUUUCCCGCAGCAACGCGCGGGCAACAAAAGCUAGUAAAGUAGUCAUAGUAGAAGGAAUUUGACAACUAUUCCUCAUUUUGAAUCAUAUAUAUUCGGGUUUUUCAAUUUCAUACCUUUCUUUUAUCUGAUGCUGAAUUUGAAUUGGACGAAUUGCUUUCCAAACAGAAAAUUUCUCUUUACAUGUUGUGAUCGAGCUUGAGAGGAGUGAUCUUUCUCCGGGUAUGCUUUACUUAUGCUAAGUUUUUGAUUUUGGUUUGCAUUUGAUUUGAUUUGUUUUUGUUCUGAAUUUGCUUCUUGAUUCUUCGUUUUGUUUUGUCGGAUGUGGCUGUGGGCGUUGGUUGUUUUUGGGUGAUUGAUUCAAGUAAGCUUCGUGUCCUUCAUCAGCUUCGUGUUCUUCGUGUUCUCUAAUGUCUCAGUAUUUCUUAUCCUUUUCUUUUGGUUCUGUCCAUUUUUAUUUAUUUAUUUAUUUUUAUUUCAUUUUUGGUGUGGAGCCGAUGAGAUAUCUUUGAGUGAAAAUCUAUGGAGGAUUUGUUAACAUGUGCCUGGUCGAGUUUGGUUGGAUCCAGUUUGUUAGUUUCUCAGCUAUAUUCUUGGUGUUGUUAUGCUUGACUUUAUUGGCUUUUGCGUUUGCAUUUCAAUUUAUAUUGUGUUUUCAUUUGAAUUUUUUUUUGGUGGCAUGAAAUUUGGUGUUUGAAUGCAAAGAGUGUAAUAUAAAUUUUCCCCAAGAUGGAUUCGUGGGACUAUAGAUUCGGGAAGUUCCCAAUCCUCUGCUCAGAGCGAAUAGAUAAGUGCUUUUGAAUUUUCAAAUUUUUUCAUUCUGUUUUUGUGUGGUUUUUAUACUGUGUGAGAUUGUGUUUAUCAUUUCAAGAAGGAUAACUGUUCCCAUUAUCUGAUUUGAGCUGAUUCGGCGUUUGUCUGUUCUGCAGUCUAGGACCUCAAUGAUCGAUUGCACCGAAUUCCAGUAUAUAGCUUGCUGAUUUGAGUUUCAUUUUUAAGCAGUUUUUCAGGUAAAGUUACAAACUUUACAUGCAAUGUUCUCAAAUAAAGAAAACUGUUUGCUGAUUUGAUUUUCAUUUUUUAGCAGUUAUCAGGUAAAGUUACAGUUUACAUGCAAUAUACCCAAAUAAAGAAAACUGUGUUUCUUUCCUUUUGAGUUUCAAUCUGAUUUUCGUUUCUUUCUUUCUUUCUUUCUUUCUUCUUGUUGCUUAUCAUGUCAAUGUGGAUUUCUAACGUCAGGGUGAACUCAAGAUAGCAGAUUUUGGGUGGUCAGUGCAUACAUUCAAUUGCAGGCGGACCAUGUGUGGCACUCUUGAUUACCUCCCUCCUGAGAUGGGUAUGUUAAAAGACAAGAGAUGGUGUUUUGAAAACCAGUGCUUUUAUGUGCUCUAAUGUCUCAGUAUUUCUUAUCCUUUUCUUUUGGUUUUAUCCAAUUUUUUUUUCAUUUUCGGUGUAGAGCCGAUGAGAUAUCUUUGAGUGAAAAUCUAUGGAGGAUUUGUUAACAUGUGCCUGGUCGAGUUUGGUUGAUUUUGGGCGGGAUCCAAUAUGUUAGUUUCUCUGGUAUGUUCUUGGUGUUGUUAUGCUUGACUUUAUUGGCUUUUGCGUUUGCAUUUCAAUUUAUGUUGUGUUUUCAUUUGAAUUUUUUGUUUUGGUGGCAUGAAAUUUAGUGUUUAAAUGCAAAGAGUGCAAUAUAAAUUUUCCCCAAGAUGGAUUCGUGGGACUAUAGAUUUGGGAAGUUUCCCAAUCCUCUGCUUAGAUCGAAUAGAUAAGUUGAGUGCUUUUGAAUUUUCAAAUAUUUUCAUUCCAUUUUUGUGUGGUUUUUAUACUGUUUGAGAUUGAGCUUAUCAUUUCAAGAAGGAUAACCGUUCCCAUUACCUGAUUUGAGCUGAUCGGCGUUUCUGUUCUGCUGUCUAGGACCUCAAUGAUCGAUUCCAGUAUAUAGCUUGCUGAUUUGAUUAUCAUUUUUUAGCAGUUUAAUGAGGUAAAGUUACAGUUAACAUGCAAUAUACCAAAUAAAGAAAACUGUGUUUCUUUCUUUCUGAGUUUCAAUCUGAUUUUCGUUUCUUUCUUUCUUUCUGUCUUUUUUUUGCUAUCGAGUGCCACCCGAAUACUAAAUUGGAGAGAUAACUGGACCUGGCUGGAAAAUAAAGAUGGUGAAUGUAAGUAAUAGCUCAAUUGCUUUGAUCUUCGGCAGUCACCAUCUUUUCAAACAUAACAGCAUGUUUUAUUUGAUGAAGAAUGUGAUGCACAUUGUUAUUUUUGACUGGGUUUUCUGUUUCCUUGAUUUGAGCUGAUUCGGGUUUUGUCUGUGCGGCAGUCUAGCACCUCAAUGAUUGAUUGCACCGAAUUCCUGUAUGCGUGCUGCAACAGGGGUGGACUCGGUUUCAUUGAGUUGGUUAUUAUGAUUGCUUACAUCUCAGUGAGAAUAGUGAUCUUUCUCCGGGUAUGUUUCACUUUACAUCUCUUUACUUUGACUAAAUGCCUUGAAAAGCUUCUUCAAACCGUUGAAAAGUCUUGAUUUAUUAGUCUCUCACUGCUUAAAAAGAAUUCUGAAAUAUUCUCUUGCAGGAGGUAAUUCAGCAAAGAAGGACAUCAUCAUUGCUGGAUUCCUUAUCUAUUUCAACAAAGAAGAUGAUUUGCAGAGGUAUUGUCUUGCUGACAACCAUAGCGUUUGAAGUUUCAGUUUUGAGAUCCUAAGUUUGAAUACUAUAUCUGUUGUCUUACUAAUCUUUCCAGUCUCUGCUUUUAGAUGAGAUCUUUUAUGAUACUGCUGGCAUUUGCAUUUCUUAAUCUUAUCCGUAAAGCAUAUAAAUUUCUGUAAAUGUAUAUAAAAGGCGCCAAAGGUAUAGAAUAUAAUCUUACCCUUUGUCUUGGGCCUUAUAGACAGAAUAGAUAACAGUUUUAUUUAUUUGUUUAAGAUUGUAUUUAUUCUCAAAUAGUGUGUUUUUCUUUUCACAGGGGGAACUUUUUGAAAGAUAUUUUGAAGGGUGUACUGUUUUUAUUUAGAAGGUAACUUCUCAAUCUUUUUCAGUUUUGGUGUUAAUUGGAUCCAAGUGGUCGUUUUGCAAUGACAUUGUAUAAUUAGUUUGCUACGGAUUUCUACUGUUUGUUUACAAAUUGGUGAAUCAUUGUGAUUUUGUCAAAAGUUUAUUCUGAUGUGGUCAAAAGUUGUGUGCUUUACCUUUUUUUUUUUUUUUUGGUCUCCUGCUAACUUGCUCCGUUUUUUCAGGUCAUGUUGCUACUUUCUUCUGAUGGUUUCAAUCUUUGUGUGGCUAAAGUAUUUUUUGAUAUGGUGCUAUUUCCUGUUCUUGUCACUGGUAUGUAAUAUGUAAUGAGUUUUUUGUCUUUUCAUUUUAUCUUAUUAACACACACACAUGCUAUGUGUACUUGGUAUUUAUAUUUUGUUAGAAUUAUAAGAUACUUGUACUAAUAUCAUGGUUUUUACUAAUAUCACACACACAAGAUAUAUCAUGGUUUUUAAUUAAUGUUGUCCACUGGGUAAACUUUUACUAUUGCUAAAAGUAAUAUGCCAAACUGUCUAAACAAUUGCUAAAACUUGGAAAGCUUUUGGAAGAAUUGGCAUGCUUGGUGAUAAUAUUAUGUAGUGAACCAAUUUUCUCAAGCACUGAUGUCUGCCUAAUGAUAUAGAUGUUUGACUCGUUUAAUUAUUUUUUCAUUUGAUUGUUGGUUCGAGAGUGGUUCCAUGCCUUAUGCUUAUAUCCACUAUCCUUUUGAGAAUGAUUGAAGUUUAUGAGAAAAACUUUACUGGAAAUUUUGUGGCUGGAGGGCUGGAUCAGAUUCGUGGAUGCUAAGUUUAUUGUAUUUGGGGUUUCCAGUUUUUCAGUUCCUUUCAUGUUGGCUAUCACUAAUUGUAGUCAUACAGCUGAGUUGGGUUAGUUAAUGUCAAUCGUCUAGAACUUCCUAAUUUUUCUAUAAUCAAUUAUGUAUGUACAUGUGUGGCAAUGAUACUUCUUUCCACAUGGAUUCUAGUGUUAGAUGAAGACUCCAAAAACUAUGAAGUACAGUUAAAAACAGAAUAGGGUGUUUGUUUUGGUGACUAAUAGAAAAACCCUUUCGUGUGUUCGUAAGUUGUGUUUUUUUCUUUUUAAUUAAUAUAAUGAUUGAUGGCUGCCUAUUGUAGGAUUAGCUUCCUUUCUGUUAGCUUUUAUCUUAACUUGGGCACAAGCUUCCAAUGUCUAAGCUAGGCCUCAUUUUUUUCCUUCCGAUUAUGCAGGUUCUACACUCUUGUGGUGUUAUACCUGUCUUUCAGAAUCUCAUUUGUAAUGGACUUGUACUUGCUGAGGAUGGUAAAAAAAAGGUGUAAAAGUCUGAAAAAUUAUCCUCCUCCAAUUGAUGUAAUCGAUCAGUAUGUAGCUGUAUGUGUUUAUAGUAACUGACUGUUCGUAUUAUAGUUUCAGUGCCUUUUCUUUUCCUGGCUUCUUUGUCAAAUGGUGGGAAGAUGCUAUAUUUCACAAAAAUCAUGUCUACUGAAAUUUCUGCUGUGCAGGAUUCAGUACGAUUAUACCUAAUUAACUCUCCUGUUGUGCGCGAGGAACCAUUACGUGUCAAGAAGGAAGGAGUUUACUGUGUUGUAAGUGUUAUUUAUCUAUUCCUGUAUUAUGUUUUCAUGUUGGAGUGCUGCUUGUUGAUCUUUGUUCUUUGAAUUGAUCCGGUGGUACUUUUAUCUUUGGUUAAUUUCAGGUCAAGCAUGUAUUUCUACCAUGCCUAUAGGUUCCUUGUCCAGAAUGCAAAGAGACUUGAGAUUGAAGGGUUUGCCCCUUUUGUCCCUAUUGAUCAAGCCCACUACAAAAGUCAUCUGAUGUGCUUGACCAGUGGAUGAACUCGGCCACACAGAGUCUUGUGUAUUUUGUCCGUCAGGAGAUGAAUGGUUACCGACUUUAUACGGUUAGCUGUCUAUGAAUUACUGUGUUGGUUGUUCUGUGUUGAGUUGUUGUUGAAUUGUUGGUUUUGAUUUUCACGUCGGUACCAUGGUGGAUUUGGAAUUGAAGCAGCAAAGCAAAGCUACUGUGUUGGUUCACAAGGGUAAGGAUUUCCCUUGUUUUGUUGCAGUGUUGUUUUCUUGUGUGGUUUUGCUAUUGAUGGCUGAUUUGAGUGUUUUCGUUGCUUGUAUGUCGAGAACUUGGUGUUUUGAAGAAUACGGGGAAGUCGCCGGAAUUCGGCGGCCGAUUCCGGCAGAGAGCUGAGAAGGCAGUGUUCGACUUUUCCUUACGAAUUGUGUUGUAAUUACCCGUCUGAAAGUCAAAUCUUUGUGGGAGUUGGGUUUCUCUCUGGUUCAAUAGUGUUGGUUCUUUCUCUAUUAUAGUAUAUGAUUUUUGGUUUUGGUUGUGUAAUAGAUUGAUGGAUAUGAGAUUGAAAAAUCUAGAUGGCUGUGUUAUUGUAGGUUGAUAUUAUUCUUUCAGAUGGUUAUUUGGCUAGAGCUGCUGUUCCCAGGUGCCUCUAUGGGUAAGUUUAGUGAAAAUUUUUUAAAGUAAUCUUGGGCUAUUUAGAGCUGCUGUUCCCAUGUGCCUCUAUGGGUAAGUUUAGUGAAAAUUUUUUAAAGUAAUCUCGGGCUAUUUUUACAGUGAAAAAUUGUUGUCGUAGUCACGAGGUAGUGAAGAGUGUUCCUCAAAGAAGCUGGCGAAUCUAGGGCUGGGCUCCGGCAACGACGAUACCCUUAAUACUAAGGUAAAGUAAUUCGAUUUCUAGCUGAUCGAUUGUGUGGGUUCUUCAAAAUUGAAUCCUGAUUUUGAGAUUUUGUUUAUUUCAUGAUGAUUGAUCAGGUAUUUUUGAUGGUGGAUAUUCUUUGCAAUGAAUUUGAUUUCAGAUUGAGAUAGCUUGCUGAAGCUGCCCAAGGUGUUCUUAAGGUAUCUUUUCAACUUCAAUUUUAUUUUGUCAUAAAAAGCUAUUCAAUCCAAUUUUUGGUUCAUUACAUGUUCGAUUUUGAUGUUAAUUUGGUAUGUUGGUUUUCUGGGUUUUCGACUUAUUGGUGGUGCUGGGAAGAGGAUAUGUUCUUUUUGGAAAGCCAUGCGAUUCAUGAUUUGUUGAGGAAAUCAGGUAACAAAUAAUGCUGAAAAGUACAUAUGUACAUAUAGAUUAGUGAUCAAACCAAUAUUUAGGUAGUAGUUUUAUAAGUCAAUACUAUGGAAUGCUUUGUUUUGCUUACUAAAUGCUAAGCAAAUUCAGAUUUUCUGUUGGGUGCUCUCAAAGUUGUCCUGUGGCAAUACUUAUGAUGAUACAUGCCAAGUAGUAUAAUAUAUUCCAUGCAGUUGUUGUUUCCUUCUCAGCAACUGAAUGUGUUUUUGGUGAUUGGCUAAUAUAAUCAGUUUCACUACUGGAAAAUGGUCACAUCUGUUUGUGUUGCACGAUGUCUAAGAUGUAGUGAUUAGUGGAUUAAUGAUGAUAUUGAUUAUGGGAUGUCAUUUGUGCUAGGUUUAGUGACAAAGGUGGAUAUCAAUCUGUGUGCAUUUUUGAAAUAUCAGAACUUCAUUGAAGGACUGAAUUCCAAAGUUUAGUGCCUUUUGCUCUGUUUUACUUUAAGGACACUCACCAUACUUAUAUGUAUUCCCAUUUCCCUUGGAAAUAAAACAGAUAUUUAUUUUCACCCAUCCUACAGAUUUUUUUUUAUUUUUUUGGUUAAUUCUACGGUUUAAGCCUUAUUUAAAUUUCUAUACAUCUCUGCACAUUGAAUAAAUAGUUUGUACCUUGUGAGAGUACAAUUUAAGAAGAUAAGUGACAUUUCAAGAUUAAUGAUCCCUCCACUCUAUAUGCUUAAUUCAGAUAUAUAAUAUCAUCAAUCAGACAAUAUAAAAAUUCAGCUCAUCAGUAUCUAAGUCCAAGUGNNNNNNNNNNNNNNNNNNNNCACGUGACUCUGCUCUUUCACGUGCAAUAUCAAGGGAGCUCACAACCUCAAAUUCAUCACCAGCAACAGGAACAUUAUUUAAUCCAAUAACCUGCAACAGACACUGAAAUGUUAUGCAUGGUAUUGAAACAAGGACCAUGCAACAACAAUGGCAGAAUAAAACAUCAAGCCAAAACAAAUUUUGAUAUAAUCAAGAUGCGCGCCAAAGCAACUUCUAGCGUGAGAUAAAAUGGCUGCUCUUAUAAGCUUUAAAGCUUAUUAACAACCAGACAAGAUCUGUAUUACUUCAUGUACUGUUUUCAGUUUUACAAUGGCUACAUUUUCUGUAUCAGAUAAAUCUUUGACAUUCAUCUUCCCAACUGUAACUGUCUCUAGAUUUUACAAUACUGACAAAAUGGCAAGUAGAGAACAAUGAACACAUGCUUAUACAAGCAGUAGCAUCUCCAGAGCAUAUGUAUUUACACAAGAGGUGAAUCGAAAUUCAUCCUACUCAAUUUCCCAGGGUUUUGCUUUCUCGCCCUCGCCCUAGAUUUAUAAUCCUUGGUUUUCCAAGGUUUCUGAUCUUGAUUUAUGUGUUUGCAACAGGCUUCAAUCCGAGUUGAUGGCUCUAAUGGUGAGUAAUCACUGCGACUUGUUCUUUGUUUUCCGUUUGGGGGUUUUUCAAUUUUAGGGUUUUUGGUGAUUUGAUUGAUUGAAAUUGAAUUUAUAGAUGGGUGGAGAUUCGGGGAUAUUUGUUUUCCCUGAAGAAGACAACAUAUUCUACUGGAAAGGGACCAUCAAUGGAAGCAAAGACACGGUUUUUGAAGGGACUCAAUACAGAUUGUUGCUCUCUUUCCCCAAUGACUAUCCCUUUAAGCCUCCCACGGUCAAGUUUGAGACUUUCUGCUUUCAUCCCAAUGUCGAUGUUCGCGGCCAUAUUUGCUUGGAUAUUCUUCAGGUAUUUUAUACUUGUACUAGUGCUAAUGUUAUUUAUAUACAAUGGUGUUUUGUUUCCGUGAUAAUUUGAUUUGAUGUGUGCCUUUGAAACCAAAUGCAAGAGAAAUGGUCUUCGGCUUAUGAUGUGAGAACCAUCCUCUUAUCGAUCCAGAGCUCGGAGGUAAAUUGAGUGUUAUAUCAUACUGAUUUUCUUUGUGUCUGCUGCUCUAUGAAUACUACUUGGAUCAUAAAGCUAUUGUCUUAUGAAAUUUGGGUCUUGUAUAUGUGAAUUACAGAACCAAACACAAGCUCACCUUUGAACCCCCAAGCAGUGCAACUUUGGAGCAAUCAAGAAGGUAAAUCUUGGAUCUCCUUUACUUGUUCAAUUGUUUUGGUUUUCAGAUAGUUUUGCAUGAUAAACAGUGUCUAAACUAUGCUGUGUUUCUUUCUGUCUCUUGCAGAAUAUAGGAAGAUGGUGGUGAAAUUGUACAAGGCUCGAAACGCUUAAUUGAGAUGCAAGGAGUCUUCAGUGUAGGAUUAAUGAUUCGGUUGUGUGUUCCAUUGGUUCAUUUGUUUCGUGUUGAGAAAUUUUAAGGACCUUGUUAUUCAGAGGUGUAGACAUUGAUUCAAAGUUGAAGCUCUCUCUCUCUCUCUCUCACUGAUUCAUUCUACAUGUUUCGCAAGAUACUCUGAUAACCUCCUUAGUCCUUAGUUGAAGAACAGUAAUAUGAAAACUUGGGUUAUCAGGGGACAACCUUCCAUGAUAGUUUUCAAUAUUAGCGCUUAUUUGUGUAUUCUGUCUUUUUGCUCAUUCUGGAUCGAUUUUUUUUCUUUCAUUUGAUCAUUUUAUGCUUCCCAGGUGCACAUCUGAAAGGGAGACUGAAGAUUUGAGAAAAGAGUUGCAUCAUUCGUCAGGUCUGAAAAUACAUAUGGUAAACUGUUUCUUUUUGAGUGCUCAGUCUUUGUUGCAGUUUAUGGUUCUUCAUUUAGAUUUCGCUCUUAAAAAAUGAAGAAAAAAUUUGGAAUUAACACAAUCUUUGUCUCAGUGAUAAUUGUUGUAUUAAAUAGUUACUCUAAAAGGGAUUUAGAGUUCUAAUGGGACGUGUGGAUUUGAAAACUUUUGAAUUGCUUGUCUACAAUUAAUAAAUUGGAUCAUUUGUUUACUGGAUUAUUCAAUUCAUUUUCUGUUGGUUUGUUGUGAAAGACAAAUCUCAUGGAGACGGAAGAGUUGGCUUGGAGAAUGCCAAGAUUUCAAAGGACGACCUCCUUUCCCUUGCUAAGAAGGAUGAUAAAAGUUACCCUUAAUCUGUAACACCUAUACUUUUUAACACUACUGUAACCGACAGCUUGCAUUUUUGUUUUUCUUACCUGUUUCUUUUCCUGCCAUCAAUAAUUGUUUUUCUUAUGUAUGAAAUUUUUCAAGGAGUGCUACAUUUUGGGAUCUUGAAUACAACUUUAGAAUAUCAAGUAUGUCAUGUGAAAUACACGCAAAAAAUGGUGGCUUCAAAGAAAGAAAACUUUGCUUUCAUCUGCUUGAUUUAAUUUUCAUGUUUUCUUAAUCUGAGUAUCAAUAUGAUUUUUCUUUCUUUCUUUCUUCUUUUUGCUUUUGAGUGCCACAAGAAUACAAAAUUGCAGAAAUAACUGGUCAUCUUUUUUCAGGUUCAGUUUAGUAAUCACUAUGGUCUACUGUUGAUGCUUGGUUAUGGUUUCUUUUGGGUGAUUUCCAAUUCAUCAGUUCUCAAGGUAAUGGAGGUGUGCUUAAUGCUCUCGAAUUUCAAAUAUUUUGAUAUGUAAUUUCAAAUUCCUUUUAAUAAUAUAACAAUGAUUCAAAUAUUUUAAAUACGUAUAGGUCAUCUUCAGUUAAUAGAGUAAAUAAAAAGAAUUGAACAAAUUUGUAGGGGCUAUAAUGAUCUAUGUCAAUACAGACAUGCCCACACAUAUAGCAAGCUAAAUGUGUGAGGAUGAAUAAUAAUAACAACAAGGAGAACAAGUAGGAGGAUCAUGAAAGUCUGCUGAAUGCUGAUGUAUAACAAGUAGGGUGAUGUUCUCAUUUUUCGAGAUGGUCAUCCCAUUGCCAGUUCUCCAUUGUCCCAAAACGACUACAAUGAACGCCAAAGACAGUAGAAAGAUUUGGAGUCAAUGGUCAGAAGACAAGAGAGAACUUAAUUGCAGGUUAGUCAAUCAUGCUUUAGACAAAUGAACUUAUUCAAAAUUCAAAGCAUUGCUUAUUAGUUGGUUACAAUCAUAGCAGCUUGGACAUUGGUUUUUACUUUUCAAGUAUUUGGGUAUUCGAAUAGUUUCCAUCAAGUGUUUGAAUGACUGGUUGGACGUGUUUGAUGCUAUGGAUAUUUUUCUGGUAUUGUAGGUUGUGGUCAAGGUUGGUGUGAUUUUGUUGAUCAGGUUAGGUUCUUCCCUUUUUCUGUUAGUGAAGGGAUGUUUUAUUAAUGGUAUUUAGCAGUAGUUUGGGUUUUGUUGUAUUGAUUGUACAGUUGGAAUCAAAACUGAAUUGAAACUUAAGUGGAAAGAACCUAAAAACCCUAUCAGGUGUCAAAACAGAGGCAUGGUCUCAUUAUAAAUCAUUAUCUUAUUCAAAACAGAACUACCUUACUUUUAAGUCUUAAACCUAUGAGGUUGUAUGCAUGAUGCUUACCAGAAAAAUAUCCAUAUAGUAAUUUUUAUUUUUUUGUGAAUUGAAUUGCUAAAAAGGUCUAUGAUGCUUUUUUUUUUUAAAUAAAAAUUGAUGACAAUCGGUAUUGUGUCUAUGGGAAUUAUUAUAUUUAAUGUGCUUUAAACGUAUCCCUUCUUGAUUACUUAUAGCAGAACGGAGCUCUGUUAUAUGUUUCCUUUUUAUGACUUAUUGAUGCAUACUUGUUGCUUAUCCUGUCAAUGUGGAUUUCUAAUGUCAGGGUGAACUCAAGAUAGCAAAUUUGGGUGGUCAGUGCAUACAUUCAAUUGCAGGCAGACUGUGUGUGGCACUCUUGAUUACCUCCCUCCUGAGAUGGGUAUGUUAAAAGACAAGAGAUGGUGUUUUGAAAACCAGUGCUUUUAUGUGCUCUAAUGUCUCAGUAUUUCUUUAUCCAUAUUUUUUUUUUGUCAUUUUCAGUGUAGAGCCGAUGAGAUAUCUUUGAGUGAAAAUCUAUGGAGGAUUUGUUAACAUGUGCCUGGUCGAGUUUGGUUGAUUUUGGGUGGGAUCCAAUAUGUUAGUUUCUCAGGUAUGUUCUUGAUGUUGUUAUGCUUAACUUUAUUGGCUUUUGCGUUUGCAUUUGAAUUUUAUUGUGUUUUCAUUUGAACUUUUUUUGUGCGUUGGCAUGAAAUAUGGUGGUUGAAUGCAAAGAGUGCAAUAUAAAUUUUCCCCAAGAUGGAUUCGUGGGAUUAUAGAUUCGGGAAGUUCCCAAUCCUCUGCUCAGAUCGAAUAGAUAAGUUGAGUGCUUUUGAAUUUUUAAAUUUUUUCAUUCCGUUUUUGUGUGGUUUUUAUACUGUGUGAGAUUGAGUUUAUCAUUUCAAGACGGAUAACCGUUCCCAUUACCUGAUUUGAGCUGAUUCGGCAUUUGUCUGUUCUGCAGUCUAGGACCUCAAUGAUCGAUUGAACCGAAUUCCAGUAUAUAGCUUGCUGAUUUGAUUUUCAUUUUUUAGCAGUUAUUAGGUAAAGCUACAGUUUACAUGCAAUAUACGCAAAUAAAGAAAACUGUGAUUCUUUCCUUCGGAGUUUCAAUCUGAUUUUCAUUUCUUUCUUUCUUUCUUUCUUCUUUUUGCUAUCGAGUGCCAUCCAAAUACUAAGUUGGAGAGAUAACUAGACCUCGUUGGAAACUAAAGGUGGUAAAUGUAAGUACUAGCUCAAUUGCUUUGAUCCUUGGCAGUCGCUAUCUUUUCAAACAUAACAGCAUGUUUUAUCAGAUGAAGAAUGUGAUGCACAUUGUUAUUUUUGACUGGGUUUUCUGUUUCCUUGAUUUGAGCUGAUUCGGGAUUUGUCUGUGCUGCAGUCUAGCACCGCAAUGAUUGAUUGCACCGAAUUCCAGUUUAUAGCUUGCUAAUUUGAGUUUCAUUUUUAAGCAGUUUUUCAGGUAAAGUUACAAACUUUACAUGCAAUGUUCUCAAAUAAAGAAAACUGUAUUGAUUAUAUAGUGGCUUCAAAGAAAGAAAACUUUGCUUUCAUCUGCUUGAUUUAAUUUUCAUGUUUGCUUAAUCUGAGUAUCAAUAUGAUUUUUCUUUCUUCUUUUUGUUUUGGAGUGCCUCCAGAAUACAAAAUUGCAGAGAUAAUUGGACCUGGCUGGAAACUAAAGAUGGUGAAUGUAAUUGCUUUGAUCUCCUUUCCUGUUUUUCACCAUCCUCUUAUUAAAGUGUGUAAUGCUUUUUCUGUUCUUGUCCGGUCGAUUGGCAUUGCAGUCUGGGUAAUUCUUUGUUUGAUUUCAGUUUUGGUUUUGGGUUAUCAUUUGGUUUUCCUUUUUCAUGGUAAAUUUGAAAUUUAGUUCUGUGUUUUCGAUUUAUUGGCAAUUUGAGAUAUGGGUAUCGAAUUUUGGAUUGAGACCCCGGUUUUUUGUGACAGAGAGAGAGGAAUUAGUAGAUGUGAUUGUCAACGUCUAAUUUUCGAGCCAGAUUUCUAAAGCUUCUCCUGUUUGUUCAAUUUCAGGUGAGAAAUGAAUUUUUGAAGUUUACACUUGGUUUGGGUUUUUGGCUCUCAAGUCAUGUUUAUUUACAGUUUUUAUCUAAUCCAUUAGAGUUUUAGAAGAUUGGUUUUCGUGCUUGAGAAUUGUGCUUCAAACUUAGUGAGAAGUUCCUAGUUGUUUGAAUUUGUUUCCCCAAUCCCCAGUCUGUAAACCCAAUUUUGAUGGUACUUAUCAAUGAUACCGAACAAUAUCUCAAUUCGGAUCAAACCAAUCAGCAAAAGGAAAAUAGAAAAAAUUAAAGUCAUGCCAAGGAAAGUGCAACGUUUAGGAAUUAUGCAACAGUUUUACUUAAGAACCGUUGGGUUCACUCGAAUGUUUCCUUAACUUUGAUAAGUAUUUUUGCUUCCUACCUUUUACUUUUAACUGUUUGGUUUGUUGUUCUGCAUUGUGUGGCGUCGUUAUUAGAUUGCUGCAAACCUUUGUUUUCUGUUUUUGAUAUUAACUGUCUCAACAGUUGGGUGGAAAUGAUGGCACCUGUAUUCUCAAGAGCGGCUUGGUGAUGUGUAUAUACACAUGAUUCAGGUAUAAAAACCCUGAAAAACAUGUAGUAUAUGAUUACUUGCUUUUGGUAAUGAACAACAGUAUAUGGCAGAAUAAAUGUCGACUGGUUGAACAUUAGAUCACUCAAGACCAAAGAAUAUCUUGUAGUACAAACCACCAUUUCAUGAAAAAGUAGAGAGAGAGAGAGAGAGAAUAGUCUCUAAGAGUCUAUUGGGCUUAUGGGAAUUUUAGAAUCUCAUUUUGUUGGUGGGAAAAAUUGUCUAGAUUUAGGGCUAGUGAGAAUUUUCCCUAGUAAAUACCUACUGAUAUGACACAUACCAUCAUUGAUUGUUCAACUUGCCUAUGGUCUUGAUGUUCAAUAUUGAUAUCUCAGUUUUUGCCUUUCACUUGCGCAGGGUAUCAAUAACAUGGUUCAGUCUCAGAAAGAGGACUCAAAAGCAUUGGUGAGUUUCUAAUUUUUUUUUUCGAGACUAUUUAACGAUAUAAAAUCUGAUUUUACCUUAUGUAAUCUCAGGCACCAUCUGGCCCUCCUAUACCCAGUGAUAGAGCUAAAGUAAUCCUUUUUUUUGUACUGUUUUAGUAGAUUUUCUUCCAUUCAUGAGCGUAAUUCCAAUAAUCUUGCACCCUCUCUCAUCUCUUUGCAUAGCUGUGUAUUUCUGCUGACUAUUUUAAUUAUUUGUAUACAAUGCAAUCUGCAAGCACUUAUCUGUUGACUGUAUUCUGUUGGCAGGUUAGGAUGCAGUCCUUCAUUGACAUGCGGAUCUUUAAGGAAAGAUGGAGGAAUGCAGUGAAGGAGGAUAACUGUUGGGUUGACCCAUAUUGACUAUCAGCAAACUCAAUCAUCCAUAAAUUCUAUUCAUACGACUUCCUUCAUGUGAAAAUUCGGAGGUUGGUGCCCAUUAUUAUACACAGACAGCGCCAUCAGACCAAAUAGCCUUUGACAAAUAUUUGGAGACCGACAAUGAAGAUGUGAUGUGAAAUGACAUCAUUAUUUUGUAUAGGCAGUAUAUUUUUGUAUCCCUGGCUGGAAAUGGAAUGAUCAAUCCAACAUUUUCUGUUGUGAUUGCAUCACCUUUUGCUGUAAAUAUAACCAUGUAAAACCUAUAUAUUGAUGCAUCAAAACACUAUGAUGAAAUUUAAGAGUAAGUUUGAGCUCUGGUGACAGCCAAAAAUCAAAAUAUAGAGAACCUCUUAUUGUCAUGAAACUAAACUAAGAAUCAAUACCAAGCAAAUACAAGGUUUAGAUUGCUCAUUGUCAUGAAAAUGAACUAAGAAUCAAUAGCAAGCAAAUACAAGGUUUUGAUUGGUACCCAUGUUAACUUCAUCACUUCAGACCAAAAAAAGACUUUCAUUGCUUCUUACUCGUUUCAUCUCUGCAAAGGAACCAAAAACCCGAGUUAAGUAGCAAAAUUUCAUCAACAUAAAAGUUCUGAUUAGAAAACUAUUUACUUUCUAAUAACAGUACGUGCUCAACACUACACACAAACUUCACAACUAAAACAAUGCCAGAUUUUUGGUAUUUUGGCAGCUAGUUUAAUUUUAGCAUAUGAAUUAAGCUAGGUCCUUGCCACAACCACAACCUCCCCCUUUUCAUAUAGCUAUGUUGCCUUUGUUAGCAACAAGAGUAACACAUUUGCAAUUGUUAAAGAGAAAUACAAUGAAGAUGAAAAAGAAGAUGCCCAAAUGCAAAAUAAGACCUUGAGAUUGGUCAAUGGUAAUAGGGCAAUAAGCCAAGAAUCCAAAAUGUGAAGACGAAUAUAUAUACCUUGAUGUAAUCUAGUUAUAUCCUGAGACCACCCAAAACUACCAAGGAGCUGCACCAACUUAUAUUUCACAAGCCAUUUGAUAAAUGAUCGAUUUAAUGGAAUGAUUUGGUCAAUAAAAUUCAGUGCAUUUUCAAUUUUGAUAUGGAACCGGUUCACAAAGACUUAAUUUCCAUCAUACAACUUUAACUCACAAGAUUCUAGUCUACAGAACUAAAGCACACAACUCAAAAAAAAAAUGAAAAAUUAUAAGAUUUUUAUUAGGGAAAAUAUCCAAAUACCCAAAAAUUAGAAAGCUAAAGCCCAUUCUAAUAAAAUUCUAAUCCUUUAAUUCAUUUCAAUGAUUCUUAUACAAAAUAUAUUAUUACCUAUAUAAAAUUAAACCCACACAAUCUGCUCUCUCUCUCUCUCUCUCUCUCUUGAUAUCUACACCGUCACUCGGAGCAGUGCGUCGUCGCCGGCAAGCCACGAGGAGGAGCUCUGAUCUCCAACUCCAAGUAUCUUUAUGCCGUCUCGGUCCAACGUGCCUUUGCCGGCGAGCUAAUUUGCUUGAGCCUCGAGGAGAAGAUCCGAUCUCCAAGCAGCAGAGCUCCGAUCUCCGAUCUGCAAAACCAAAGGCGUUGGAGUCGCGCCGAGUGCCGCUCACGCAAUCGCCGAAUCUGUUACUGGUUUGUUUCCACAAAGCGAUGCGAGCCGAGCUUGCCGAUCUCCGUCUCGUCACCACGACCGCAUUAGAUUAUCAUUUGUCGUUUGCGUAUGUGGAGGGGGAGAGCUUGCUGAUGGGGUUGAAGGAGGUGGCGGUGUCGAGUGGGAGUGCUUGUACUAGUGCGAGUUUGGAGCCGUCGUAUGUGUUGAGGGCGUUGGGGGUGGAUGAGGACAUGGCGCAUACUUCGAUUAGGUUUGGGAUUGGGAGGUUUACGACUAAGGAGGAGAUUGACAGGGCCGUGAAGCUUACGGUGAAGCAGGUGAAGAAGCUGAGGGAGAUGAGUCCGCUUUAUGGUGAAGGAAGGGAUUAAUAUCAAGCAUAUUCAGUGGUUGCACCAUUGAGGGGUUGUGUAGUGGAGCAGUUAAUAUACAUAAUACAUGUGUACUGGUGAGCUGCGUCUUAUGGAGUGGAGAUGGAGAAUUCAAGGUUCAGUUUGCUAUCCUUGUUUGUAAUGCCUUUGACAACUCUCCUUAGUAACUCUAUAUCACUAAAUUUUGCAGACACAGUAUUUUUCUUUUCUAAUAUUUACCCAUUGCUGUUUCAUUUUGUUGGUAAGGAACGUGGGAAAGAUAGGUGAAGAUGGUGUUUUAGGUCUAAUAGUUGAUUAUUGCGGGUCAGUAACUGAUCAUUAAGGUUAUUAAGGGUUAGUAACACGAUUAUUAGGGGUAAGUAACCGAUUAUUGGGGGUCAGUAACAGAUUAUUAGAAGUCAGUAACUGAUUAUUGGGGGUCAGUAACUGAUUAUUAGGGGUUAGUAACACGAUUAUUAGGGGUCAGUAACUGGUUACUAGGUGUCAGUAACUGGUUACUGGGGAAAUUCCGGUAACCGGAGUCCGGCGGUCGAGGAAAUUUCAGUGACCGGAGUCCGGCGGUCGAGGAAAUUCUGGUGACCGGAGUCCGGCGGUCGGGGAAAUUCCGGUGACCGGAGUCCUGCGGCCGGUGAAAUUCCGGUGACCGGAGUCCUGCAGUCGAUGACCGGAGUCCAAGGUUCCGGCCAAGUCUUUUUAUGUUGAAGAGAUGGGGGCAAAAUAGUUUUAAAAUAAUAUAGUUUGUUAAGACUUUAAUAAAGAUUUNNNNNNNNNNNNNNNNNNNNCUCUCUCUCUCUCUCUCUCUCUCUCUCUCUCUCUCUCUCUCUCUCUCUCUCUCUCUCUCUCUCUUCUUGAUUUCUAAUUUCGCAAUCUAAUUCUCUCUGUCUCUCUCAACCCGAAACCCUAAUUCAUACAGAUCUUCAAUUCCCCCAAAUUCUGAUUUCAAUUCGAUCUCUUUAAUUCGCGGCGUUUCAAUCCCAAAGGAAAAACCCCGAAACCCUGGAUUAGGAACCAUUUCGGAGACCUUGUUCUCUACUCUACUCUCUCUUUAACUUUGCGAUUCUUAAUUGUUUAUUACGUGAUUCUCUCCGUUUUUCUCGAAUUUCCGAUCUCUCUGUCGAUUUCCAUGGCAAGCUUCUUCGGUAUCAAUCCCCAUAAGGUUUUUUUUGGAUACAAGGGAGCCAAAAGACCCAAACAAAGAAAAAAAGAGAGUAGAAACUAGAUAGCUCUAGCGACAUUCUUAAACUUAGCAGUAUCACACAAGUCAUCAAGAGCAGCAUUAACAACUUGUGGAGGAGGUUGCUGAAAAUAUUGCACUCCAAACUCAGAACUUAAUCUGGACUUAGAGAGAAUAUUAGCCACCAUGUUGAUCUCUCUGUGCACAUGUGAGACAUCACACAUAAAGAGCUUGUCCAUCAAAAAUUUGCAUCUACCAAGCACACUGUAUAAAGGAUGCAAAUCAUCAACCCCUUUCUUCAACAUUUGAACAAUAACAUUAGAAUCAGAUUCAAUAAGGAGCGAAGUGCAUUGGGAAGUGUAAGCCAUCUUUAAAUCCAAGGGUAAACCCCAUGCUUUAGCGUCCAGAACAGAGCCAUUUCCCAAACUAGCAGCAAAACCAGAAAUCCAAUUGCCAUUACUGUCUCUUAACACACCCCCAGCACCAAUACAACAUCCCCAUAAGGUUUUGUUGCCAUGCCCAUAAGAAGAAAUAUACAAAAUUACCAUUACACACACUUUUUGUUUUUUUCUCGACUAAUACACACUUUUAAGCCUAAAUUACCAGUAACAAGCAUGUUUUUUAAAAUUUUUAUUAUCUGCAUGAAGUAAUAGAAUGAACCAAAAGAGAUCUAUCACACAGGCCAAAGUGUUCCAACUUCUAAGCAAAUUAUGAAUAAAUAAUUCAAUACUAUACCCCCAAAGGCUAUCAGAACAAAAUUUGAGGAAAAAGGAAAUUAUGAAUUUACGGUUUUCCUUGCCUCAAUCAGCCAUUAUUCAUAUUUCUGUUCAAAUAACAAGGCUAACGAAUUUUUAUCUUCUGUCUUCUCAAUAGUGUAGACACGGGCCUCGAAUUUUCAACAAGAAUGAAAAUUAUGAUCUCUUCCCUUGUUGUCAAGGAUUUAUCUCUCUGUACGUAGAGCUAGUAGGAGCUUCAUCCUUGCUGUUAUCCCCUCCUGCUUUUGAGGUCCCAGCCAUUGUUCCUCGGUUGCGAGUUACUGAACCGACUUCCUCAUCAAAACGUUUGCUUCUCUCUGCGUCUUCAUGCGUAACAUCAGCCAAGCGUUGUUCCUCGUCCUUGUCACCCCUGCAUCAUAUUGAGAGGACAACACAUAGAGAUACAUCAAUAGUCUGAUAACAUAAUAUGGAGACACAAGGAAAGACAAACUUCGCCCUAGAACAGCUUUCCAUCACACCACAACAAAGUGGAAAUCAAUGCCCUACUCUUAAGAGAUGAGCUGACAUCUGAUAUGAUCUACAAAGAUUCUACAUAUGUUAGUCAAUCUCCAUAAAUAUCCAUUCUUUCUUUUCACAAGGCCAAGUUAUUUCUUAGAUCAAAUAUUUAAGCACAGAUCAGUUGUAAAGAUCAAAAUAUGUUUGCAGCUGUAAUUAUCAUAGCAUGUGAAAGCAUCAGAUUGUUCAAAUUGAACAUGCUAAAAGUGCAAAACCAAGCUCGGUAUGAGCCAGGCUCAAGCAAUUCACAUAUCCGAUGUCCAUUCAAAAGCCAGAAAAAAAAAACAAAAAACAUGAAAACCUUACGUACCAUGAAUAAAUAACAAGCCCAACAACGACGAUCGCAAAGGCCACAAAGUACAUCCAAUCAACCUGAGUAGGAUUCUUGGCUUAGAAUGACAUCUUCUAAUAUACACUACUCAAGAUGAAAAAAAAAUGAUGAUGCCCAUGUAAUUAGAUUACAGACCUUCUGAUGGUAAGCAAAAAUGCGAAUUAAGACUGCCCACAUGUCUGAUGUCAGCAAUGACAGGUUUAACAUCGUAGAUCCAUUAAUCUGCAAAGGAUGUACAUAAUUUACUACAAAUUGUUUCGUACAACUCAUUCCAAGCUAUUCAUUUGUUUGCUAUGCAAUAGUUAAACCCAAGAUUUAACCAAAAAAAAAAAAACUCCAUGCCUUAAACUGUUGAACAGAAUCAUGCAAAAGCAAAGCACAAACUUCAUUUCUUAAACUACAGAUGAUAUUAUAAAAUGAACCAGUCUUUCUGAAAACAUUGUACUCAGCUGUUGUAAUGAAUAAUUGGACACAAUUAUGAUCAAAACUAAAUAAAUCAAAGAAAAAGGUUAUACAGAAUAAAGCUAUAUUUCCAAUAGUAAGAAAGAACAAAAGAAGAAACACACUAAGAGCAAAUGUGAGGUAAAUACCAGUUUAAGAAAACCUCAAGACCCGUACCUUAAGUAAGAUUGGGACUAAUGAGUAAAAGAGGAACAUAGCCAAUGAAAAUCCAACAAAAGGAAAUGCCUGAAAUUGAAAUAAGAGAUCAAUCAGAAACAAAGCAUAGUUAAAUUUGUCAACAUCAAUGCUCAGACAUCUACACAUUCAUGCUAAAUAAUACUAACCCUGUGCUAAACAGAUCACAACAGUUAUCAAAUAUCAGAAUUUUUCUCCCACUAAAUUCUAUCACACUUGAUUUGAUUAAUCUGCUGUGUGAGUACAUCAUGCUACAUUUUCUAGAAUAUGAUUUCAGAAAGCGAAAUAAGUGCAAUGGAAAUGUCUGAGCAGUCAAAAAAGUCCUCAGCAAUCUCCCAGGAAGACCCAAACCAAGUCCACAUAAUCCACCAAGAGUCACAUUUGGCUCGGUUGGAUCAGAAUGAUCUAAUCAGCAGAGGACAGGGGAUAAAACCAAAACCUGUUGUGACAAACCAAGCGAACUGAAACUUUCCGGGUCAGCUGAUCCAACACAAUACAAAGGACAGUGGUCCAUGACUCCCCCAUGAAGAAGUGAAUAUAUAGUAACAUGGCAGGAGGCAAAGUUGUUCAGAGGACUCCAGUGUACUUUUGCUCACCAGACUGACAUGCCCUACUGUUCUGCUUCUCCACAGAUCCAAGGGUUCAAACCCGAAGAGGAACACACAUUUUGGAGAUCAAAUACUCGGCCAAUAGACACCAGCUAGAAUAGUUUAGUAAUUAGUCCUCAAUUAGUCCUCAAAUCCAGUAGCCUUGUUUCCCUAUGUAUUUGCACGUAGUCUAUCCUAGAUACUCGUACUUUACACCAAAUGAAGUUUUUCCAUCAACAUUACGAGGCUCUCAAAUCUUUUAUAGGACAGAGAGCUUCAAGUCAAAAUUUUCUCGUUCAAAAGGAGAAAGAGUUUUACAUAGUUGUUAAAAGAUAAAAAUUAAAAAGUAAGAGAAGACUUUUGACUUUCUGGUCCCAAUUGCGCGCCUUGAAUACUAAUGAGAGAAGAUGUCAUUAUUUUAUGUUGGUUCAAAGGAAGCCUAAAACCUGGGUUAAGGGGAGCCAAAGAUUUUAAUACUGGCAUAAUGGUAAGUCUUUACCAGGGGAGCUAUGAAACCCACAUUUAUUCAUUUUCUUUUCUAAACAAAAAGAGGUACACUUCGACUUCACACAUCUAGUGUCAAACAUUUGUGUAUCGUAAGAAAGCAUACAAAAUUUACGGUCUUGAAUUAAAUUCUCUGACACCUUAUUCUCUAAACCCUAAACCUUAUUCACGUUUUACCUUGAAGAGAUGUAGAAUUGAUAAAUAUUAUAUGCUUUUAUAUGAUAUGUGUGUGUGUGUGUGUAGAGAGAGAGAUAGAGAGAGAGACAUACAGCUCCAGACGACCACUUGAUGGAUUUGAGCUCAUUACGUUCUAUUACGCUUCUAUUGAAAGUCAUUAAGGGGUUACAACUUGUAAAUUGAUCACAAACACAUAUAAUGAUCAUAAAUCUGUGAUUGAUAAUUUCUAAAUAUCAUGAAACUGAAAAGUUCAAUCACAUCAGAAGUAAAACAGUUAAAGAUGCUGCAAAUAUGGAUGAGCAAGUUCUAUUUAUGGUAAGCAUUUUCACAAUCAGUAAAUCUUAGAAGCCUACAUCACCAAAGGAUACAUUUGGAUCGCACUGAUAAUGGCACCAAAAAAGCCCAGCAAGGACAUGAGUUCAACUCUGUCAGCAUUCUUCACUAGAAACUCCUGAAAAAGGGAGUGAAAAUCAAGCAUUAGCCAUGCAAAUAGAAAAGUUUCCCUAUGUUAAUCUUCGCAUUUCUGAAUCUAUAUAUCAGCAUACGGCCUCUGAAGAAAAUUAGUCAUAAUCUGGAUUCCUGCAACUUAUUAAAAGUGUGUUUUACCUCACUGACGUUAGUGACGGCAUACAGUGUAGCACCGGCAAUUACUAGUGCAUCCCCUUUAAGGGGAUUGCUCCCUCCUACAUACCAUGACCGUGCAUAUGCCAUCAGAAAACCACAGAACAGAGAUAUGUUUGAUAUUUACAAGUAAUUACAUUGUCUAUGGGAAACUAUGCAUGAAAAAAGUACUCUUGACAUAUUUUUACCUGAUCGGUCACCUGCAUGAACAUCUGAGAAAAUAGCUAUGACAAGGCCAGCAAUACAGGCCACCACACCGGUUAUCUUUUUACAUCUAUAUUUUGUAUUGAGGAAUAUCCAUGUAAGAAGCAUGACCGAUGGGAUAGUCCAACAAUCCAGCAACAUUACACUCGUUAUAGAUGUGUAUUGAUAAGCCUUCACCACUGUACGACAUAAUAGCAGUUAUCAGAUAAUAUUGUUGUAGCAAAUUAAUUUUACUUCAAAGUGAUGGCUUUGAAAAGCCUGGGCACACGACUUCUAUUAUAAAUGAAGAUUCAAGAAAUAGCAGUCAUCCACAUAAAAAUUGACUAUUCAAUUGUUGUAUUUCUAAUUUAAACGUUGCAUUUAUUUGAUGUUUAUGUAUGUUGAAUCUUUUUCUUUAUUUAUUUCAAAUACUUCAAUAUUCAUCACUUCAUUCUAGGAAGCUAAUUUCUGCCUUUAGGCACCAAUAUCAAGUAUCUAGAGUUUCUGCUAUAAUGUUAAACAAAACAAGUAAAAAUAACUGAUCAUGUUAUAUGAGUCUACAACUCCAUAAAAGUAAAAGAACAUUGGGCAGCUCAUUUCCUCAGACACUUGAAACCACUCAAAGCGGAAAACUCUUCCAUAAUCAAAGCAGAAUUAGUUGUAGGCAUUCACUGUAUUGUGAAACCAAUCAAAAAGAAACUAUAGAGGAAAACAAUAAGAAACAAAUAAACUUUAAUAAUACAAUAAUAAGAUUCAUAUCUGAAGUAGGGACAUAUCCCUCAGAAUUCCACAAAUAACAAAAUACACCAGUGUGACUGGAAAUAUUAAGAUGCAACAAAAGAAGUUAUAGUCAGCAAAUAAAACUGAUUUAACAUGUGGAUAUAGAUACUGACCUAGAAAAUUGGCCUCCACAUCUAUCAACCCAAGAAGUAAAUAGUAAUACCAUUUAGCCUGCAGAAUUUCCAAAAAGAUAAACAAGUCUUUAACAUGAAAAUAAGAGUAUAUAGCUCUAUCCUUUCAUAAUUUAACCUAUGAAAUAAUGUUUUAAGGUUCAUGUAUAACUUUUACAGAAGUUAUACCAGAGCAUUUUGUGAAAUAAACCCAUAAUAUCAAGCUUUAAGAUGAAAAGUCACAAAAAACAUACAAAUCAUAAUCGUAAAGUCCAUCAACAAACUUGGUCAUGUAAUAUCUUACAUGGAAGAAGACUCUUAAUAUUUUUCUUUUCUUCAAGCAUGCUUCAUUAUAUUAUGCUUGAGAUGCAACAUUUUGAAAUUUUGACAAAUGAUCACAAAACCAUUGGUAGCUUAUAUCCUAGUUUGCAGAAUAUUUGUUUACUACCACAAUACCAAGAGCCCUGAUUUGGUUGGAUACAUGGGUCAAGUUCAACAACCAAUAUCCUAAUAAACCCACUUUUAUUCUUGCAGCUGCGGGCUGGCUACAAGGUCUUCUGUUUAGGCAAUGUAGUAUCAAGUCUAUACACCACUGUUCCUAGAAUUGGACUCUUUUAUCAUUACUAAGCACCUUGUAGAUAGUCUUCCUAUGAGUCUGCUCCUUUACAAUAAAUCUUAAGCAUAAGACAUCUCAGUUCAAAAUAAGUGUUUGAAAUGAAACUCAGGUAUGAGGCAUAAAAAAACAACCUUAAGUGGUUUCCUCUGGUAAAUCAUGAUACUUCCAUACACAACUGCUAAGAGGACAUAGUUCAGAAAAGACUGUGAAGUAGGUGCAUUGAUUCCUGCAAAACCAUCAGAUGAAUGACUGAUCAGAAUCCUCUUCAAACGAACUUAAAUUUUAAAUGCACAAAGAUACAAGAAAAAACUCUAGUAUAUAAAAAGACUAUAGUAGGAUGAAACUUCAUAUGCAUCACAAAUAAUAGAAGAUUGAAAGAGGCUCAAACACAUGGCCUCCCCAGAUUCUGACCAACUAAACAAGAGCUAAGUGGUGAAAAUGUAAACAGUUAGAAUCUCCAAGCAAAUAUGAUUCAAAUGUAAAACUGGGACAUGCAUAUAUACUCUAAUCCUCGACUAUGAUUCAGUACCCAAAAUUGAUUAUAUCAAAUUAAAUGGAGCAUGUAACCAAAGGCAUGAUAUCAAACACCAGAUAGAACGUUCAACUGUUCAAGGCUUAAGAAACAAGAUAUUUCCAUAAAAUGGAACUUCACUCCUCUCCUUAUUCCUUAACAAAUCAAUCAGUGAUAUUGGCAUGAGCUACAAUAUGCAAUAAAAUAUGGAUAUCAUUGACACACUGUAAAAGAAAACUGAGAACCUUUCUUAGCCAACUCAGAGGAAGAAAAGCCAGUGGAAGUGAUCAGAAGCGAGAGAAACUGUCCCAACCCAAGACCCACCAACGUCUUCUUCACCCACAACUCUUUCAAAUUCCUCAUAUUCACCAAAAUACAAAGGAUUCCCAGAAAGAUCAGAAACUCAAAAACCCAAAAACACUGAGAGAAGCAAACAGCUCAAAACAAGCAUUUGCAAAAUGUCCACUCCAUUUGCGUUUUGUGACGUCCAAAGAGGACAGAAUUCAACUCAAUAUCAAAAGCCCAGUUGGCAGUUUAUGUUCGUGUUUGUGUUUGCGUAGGACUCAAGAACUCGUACGAAGUGAGAUUAAGGAGGAGAGUGACUGUGAAAACGAGGUUUUAUCUAUCAAAUUGAACCAAUCAACGGCUCACCAGAGUCCCCUAUUUCUAUGCAACACUCUUUUACAGCCGUUCAAUGUUGGCUCCCCAAAAUGCUUUCAAUUAUUACAUUUUGUCUCCCAACUAUUAUCCGUCGUUAUUUGCUUUCGUUUCCAGAAGUGUUGUUCAUCGCAAAUUUUACUGCUUUGUCAUUCACAAGUUCUAUAUGUAAUUAUGCCAUUCGGCACAUUAAAAUAUCGAUACAUUAACUCACUAUCAUGCUUAUAACAAUAAUCUAGAGACAAUAUGUUAAUAGUUUAUCACUGCAAGAAGUUGGUCAUUUGCAAAAGUAGAACUUGAUAGUUGUAUUACGGUUGACCACCACAGAAAGCCAAAAUUUGUACAGGGAAUAUGAUUCAUUCUCUAUUCUCUAAUCAUCGAUGUGCAUAUAAUAUGUGACCUGUGGGGUUGUUACCUAUAAUAAGUUGUAUAAGAUUAGACUCUGGAUUGGAGACUUGGAGUAGAAGAUUGCUUGUUGCAUAAACUUUUUGACCCUGAAGAUGCGCAGGAGUGGAUGUCACUGUUACUGCGACUGUGUUCUAAUGGUGGGGAAUAAAGGAAAAGGUCCGCCUUCCAUGUUUGAAAAAUGGGUUACAAAACUGGAAAGGGACACAACAUGGAGACCUGAAGUUGGUUGUUGGGUAUGAAUGAUAAGAGGACUUGUCUGCCAAUGUUGCAUCAUUUCACUGGAAAUCUGGAAAACCGCAAAAAAAGAACACUUCCACUAAACAUUAAUAUAAAAACUGGUCGAGUUCUUAAGUUCUUUCAGAAUCAAAAGAAGAGCAUACGCUACCAAUUCUGUACUUCACACAUCAAUUAUCAACAAGCUAAGACGGAAAAGAGAAGAAGCAAAAAAAACCCUAGUAAAGUGACAACCAACAGCAGGAAAAUCAAGAACCACUUCAGAUUCAGCUUCUUCGUAGCUCACCCUCUCCUUCAAUUUACAUUUAGCAGAAAGAACUACCACUAUUGUCAGUGUUUUCCACAGUCCUGAUGGGAUGCAACUUAGAAACUACACAUCUCUUGACUCUUGCUCAAGUAACUACACUUUCUGAAGCUCCGUAUUGUGCUUGUUCAAUUGGUCUUUUAACUCCUUUUUCCACCCCUGGAUUAGCCUUUCAUGCUUCUUGAUAAUCUCAGUCUUUAUGUUCAACUCCUCUUCCAUCACACCGAUCUCCUGGAGAAAAGAAAAUCCACCACAUUUAAGCACGCAAGGACCAACAAUCAUAGGGCAAUCUAGAAACCAUGGUUUAACUUAACCUGUUUAAUUUGUUCAGCACUUGUUGGCUGAUCCUCACGUUGCAGACCAAGAAAAUACAGCUGAAGCUUUUUGGCAGCGUCCAUAAAAUCUCUGGCAUGUCUCUCCACAUCAACUGAAAAGGUGACAGAAUAGCGCCAUUAUAGGUAGCAGGAAGGUAAAGUCAUUGAACUGUUCAUAAACUACUGGAAAAGCAAAGAGGGACGCUCGCUAGCAGUCAAUUGCAUGGCACGAUCAAGAGAGUUUCAUUCUUUACAUCACUAACACCUCAAUCCAAUCCGUUAGUUAUCGCUACAACCAAGAGAAUUGAAUGAUUUAUAUACUACUAGUAAGUAGUGACUGAUAACUAUCAGUCUGCACUCCAAAAUUACAGAAGAGCCAAGAUUUUUCAGUCUGCAUUCAGUUAAAUUAAACGAUUGAUAAAAAAAACUCUGUAUAAGCUGUUGAUUCCAUGGACAAAUAUUACCAGCAGACUAAACCUCCAACAUUGUAGAAAGGUCAAAUGAAAGGCUCAUGGAUCUCUCUAACCACUACAAUGAUACUUUCCAGGUGGGUGGUCUACAAGAUUAUGCCAAAAUCAUGAUCAAGUGUUCCACUACAAUAGCAAACAGUUGCAAAUAAAAGAACCAGAUUAAUGAAACAGUAAAUUGCAUCAAUAGAGGAAUCUAAAGAACCAACAGUAUUGCACCCCCUCAAAUCUGAAGACCUCAAAUGCAGCAUAAGAUAUUUGCCAUAGAUCAAACAAUAUGCAUUACUGUUUAGUGUAUUGGAUUGGCUUAAACAGGUCAUGACAACUCAGACGUAACCAUUUUCAAUAUUCAUGUCCUAAACAUAUCCAAUGGACAUAAUCCAAACUACUGAAUUUCUCAUCAAGACUAAAAGACUUUAGCACUUGCUUAUCUAUGAUGUGAAUUCAAGUUUUCAACAAUGUUUCUUAAACAAUGACAAUCGGAAGAUCAAAAGUAACCAUCUUGAUUUCCAUAUCAACCAACUCCUCCAUUGCAAAAUGUUGCACUAAAAAUAGAAUUCUCAUUCCCCAAAGGUGAAAGCAGGCUUAACCAAACACAGAACCAAAGAUAUGCCCCCAUUCUAGACUGUUAGUCCAGUAUUGGCAAAGAAGAAAAUGACCAACUUUGGUUAGAAUACAAUUAGAAACUUCAGGCAAGAUAAGUGUCUGAUGAUGCAGACGAAUCAACUGGACAAAACUAAAAAAGAAACACGUAGAGAUGGAGGAUACAAACUGUGAUGAGAAGGAUGGGGAGAGCGGUCAAUUGCUUGAAGCUCUCUGGCAGGCAAGCAUGGAAGCAAAGCAUCCUCUAGUGCCUUCACACAAGCCACCAUGUCUUCCUUUGGAGAUUGCAUCUCUGAACAACCCAACUCCUGCCAAAAACAAUUUGUUGGAUUUAAGGAUCUGGGUAACAUUUAAACUGCUGGAUUUACUGAACCCAUUAAUCGGGAGCCAUAAACAAGGAAACGAAAAGCUUGACCUCGAUAUGUUGUCUCAAUUUCUGACAGAUGCUUACCUUGAAUCAACCAAGCUCCGUAUGGCAAAGACAACCCUUUCGUCUCCUCUCGUAUACACUGUUCAGCCUUCACCGUCCUUUUUUUUUUUCCAUCAAUUUUCUUUCUCUCUUUCUUUUAAAGAAGAAAAAACAAAAAGACAAAAUAGUUCAAUGCAUUCCGCCCGAAUCUGAAUUACAACGAAAGAAAUUCAAUCUUAAAUGUGACGAUAUAAGCUAGCCACCAACAAUAAACAUAGCUAGCCAACUUAGAGCAUCUCUAACAAUUUCCAUAUUUUUUUGAAAUUCUUAAUUUUAGAGAAUAUAGAACUAUUUUUAGGUCCAACAGCUUUCCUAUCCCAUUUUCCAAAGAGAAAUUUUAAAUACACACCUUUAAUAUCUUAAUACACACCUUUAUUAUUUUAUGUUUCUAUUGAGAUUUUAUAGGUAAGUUAAAUGACCAAAACAUACAUCUAUNNNNNNNNNNNNNNNNNNNNGAGAGAGAGAGAGAAUAGUGAGUGGCAUGGUCUGUAAUUUUGUCAAAUUUUGGGUAUUAUGAUCAUUAUGCAUUUAGAAUUUGAAAUAGACUUGAUGUUGUAUUGUUUUAGGUUUGGGUUUGGGUUUUCGUCCUAAUUUGUAUAAAUAUUUUGAAAGAUGGGUUUUUUGUGUUUUGUAACUGUUUAUGGUAGUAGGAUGUCAUUUUCUAUUAAAAAAAAAGAGAAAUUUUAAAUACACACGUACUCUUAAUAUCUUAAUACACACCUUUAUUAUUUUAUGUUUCUAUUGAGAUUUUAUAGGUAAGUUAAAUUACCAAAACAUACAUCUAUUAUUUAAAAAAAAAUAGCUCUAGAAGUAUUCUUUUUCAACGUCUUCUACCCUAAAAUCGUCGAAAGCAUGUCUUCUCCCUAACCCCAACUCUUCUCCACAAUUCAUUUGAGUUUGUUUUUUUUUUUUUGGUUAUCUGUAUCAGCUUUAGUUUGAUCUUACAUAUCAUAUUGUCAAGUGCUGCAUUUUUAUCAUGACAUGUUUUAUCGAAUAACUAGCUAUCUAUGUUCAAUAUCUACUGUACUUCUACAGUUCUACUAGCUUGUGAAUUUUGAAAACUUGUAUUGGUGAUUUGGAAUUGGGAUAUAACAAUAAUCAUUUGAUUAUAAAUUUAAUGAUGAUAACAAAAAAUUUCUAGCAAAAAUUAGACGAAAUAAUAUGUAAAAAGAGGUACCAAAUGGUAAAUAUACAUUAAUUAUAUUAAAUAAUAGAAUAUUUCAUAAAUUAAGGGCAUUUUAGGCAGUUUGAGAUGUGUAUUAAGUAUAAUACUGAAAUAAAAAACUUGAUAGGUGGUGUAUUAAGUAAGGGGUGUGUAUUAAGAUAUUAGGGGUGUGUAUUUAAAAUUUCUCUUUCCCAAAAUAGGGAUGAAGAAGAAAAAGAAGUCUUCAUUCUCCAAAUUUGCAGCAAAAUCUUCCUUCCCCAAAAUUAAAUUCUUCACGUGCUCCAACGAAUUUAAGACAACAAUAAAAUAUUUUAUUGGGUAGUUUAUUGUUACAAUGAAAUAUAUAAUAUUUUUUUGUUAUAAUUAAUGAUGAUAUAUUAUAUUUUAUUGUUGUAUUAAAUACUGAAAUCUCUAAAAUGGAGAAGCUGUUGGAUUUUGAUCAUAAUUUUUUUGGAGAUUUUAGCUUUUGUUUCCCCAUUUUAGAGAAAAUUUGGGAAAACUGUUGGAGAUACUCUUACGCUCUUAAUACAGUUCAAAAACUGCGGUUAGUUUGCAAAAAAAAAAAAAAAAAACCGCCAUUAAUGCUCAAACUCUACGAGGAGCACUUUUCAGAUCAAUACAAUUUAUUAUUUUCUCAACAAAAAAAAUAAAGAAAUUGGAGAAUAGGAAUACCAGGUGUACAUUUUUGAUUGUUUGUAAAUUCUUUCCAAGUCUUAUGAGCAAAAACCCCAACAUAAACCCUCAAUCUCCUCCUCUUCUUCAACUCAAUCUCCUCCUUCUAUUCUUCUUUCAUUAAUGCUCAAACUCUACAAAGAAACUAUGAAUGAAAAUAACAUUUGUAUUUUGCUCGAACUCGAACUAUAAUAAAAGAAACUCAAUCCUAAAUGUGACAAUACAAACUAGCCACUAACAAUAAAAAAAGCUAGCUAACUUAUAUUUUUAAUACAGUAUUUAAAAACCGCGGUUAGUUGCAAAAAGAAAAAGAAAACCCUCAUUAAUGCUCAAACUCUUCAAGGAGUUAUUUGGAGUCACAUUUCAGAUUAAUACAAUUUCUUAUUUUACUAAAAAAAAAAAAAAAUUAGGAGAAUAGGAAUACCAGGUGUAGAUUGUCUGUAAAUUCUUCCGAAGUGUUAUGAGCAAAAACCCCAGCAUAAACCCUCAAGUAGCAACCACAAAAAAUGAGCAGAAGACACUUGAAGUCUCUGCUCUUGAACUCAAUCUCCCCCUUCUCUUCUUCCUCCCCAAAUCCAACAACAACUUCCCAAUCCUUCCUUUCUUCUCUCAAAUCCAAAACCCAAAACCUCAAUGUCCUCUCCAGAUUCCUCUCCGCCUCCUCUCCGCCUCCCACUCUCGACUUCUCCUCCCCGGAGACCCCCGAAGACUUUGCCUUUCUCCGCGACUCCCUCUCGGAUUCCGCGCCGAAACUUCCGCCAGAUAAGUGCUCUAACGACGCCGUUUUGAUUUCCAAUGCCAUUAGGAAUAGUACUGAUGCAUUUGGGGAUGAAACCCAGAAGUUCCUUAGGAGGUUUAGGGAUGAUUUGAAUGAGAGUUUGGUGGUGGAGGUUUUGAGUCUUGUGAAGAGUGCUGAGUUGGGUGUCAAGUUUUUCUUAUGGGCUGGUAGACAAAUUGGGUAUAGUCACACUGGGUCUGUAUAUAAUGCCUUGAUUGAGUUACUGGAGCGUGGUAGUAGUAAUGAGAGAGUGCCGGAACAUUUUCUGCAAGAAAUUAGGGGUGAUGAUAGAGAGGUGCUUGGGAAGUUGCUUAAUGUGUUGAUUCGCAAGUGUUGCCGCAAUGGGCUGUGGAAUGUGGUUUUGGAAGAGCUAGGGAGGCUUAAGGAUUACGGGUACAGGCCGAGUCAGGCCACUUACAAUGCUUUGGUUCAGGUGUUUUUGAGAGCUGAUAGGCUGGACACGGCGCACUUGAUUCAUGGGGAGAUGGUGGAGUUGGGGUUUAAGAUGGAUGAGUUUACGUUGGGUUGUUUCGGUCAUGCGCUUUGUAAAGCUGGGAGGUGGAGGGAGGGGCUUGCGUUGAUUGACAAGGAAGAGUUUGUGCCCAAUACUGUUCUUUAUACCAAGAUGAUAUCAGGGUUGUGUGAAGCUUCACUCUUUGAGCAAGCUAUGGAUUUCUUGGGCAGAAUGCGCUGUAAUUCUUGCAUUCCUAAUGUCCUAACGUAUAGGAUUUUGCUGUGUGGAUGUUUGAGGAAGAAACAGCUUGGCAGGUGCAAGAGAAUUCUUAGUAUGAUGAUCAUGGAAGGUUGUUAUCCUAGCCCUAGUAUAUUUAAUUCUCUUGUUCAUGCUUAUUGCAGAUCAGAAGAUUACUCUUAUGCUUAUAAGUUGCUUAAAAAAAUGGUAAAAUGUCAUUGCCAGCCAGGCUAUGUGGUUUACAAUAUCUUGAUUGGUGGUAUCUGUGGAAACGAAGAAUUACCUACCUUAGAUAUGUUAGACAUGGCUGAAAAAGCUUAUGGUGAGAUGCUUAACGCAGGGGUUGUUCUAAAUAAGGUAAAUGUAAGCAAUUUUGCCCGAUGUCUUUGUGGCCAUGGAAAAUUUGACAAAGCUUACAAGGUCAUCAAUGAAAUGAUGAGCAAGGGUUUUGUUCCCGACACUAGUACAUACUCUAAAGUUAUUGGCUUAUUGUGCAAUGCCUCCAAGGUAGAACAAGCAUUUUUGUUGUUUGAAGAAAUGAAACAAAACGGUGUUGUUCCUGAUGUCUACACAUAUACUAUCCUAGUCGAUAGUUUUUCUAAGGCUGGCCUUAUUGAACAGGCUCAGAGCUGGUUUAAUGAAAUGGUAGGGAAUGGUUGUGCACCAAACGUGGUAACUUAUACGGCUCUCAUACAUGCUUACCUUAAAGCAAGGAAGGUGCGUGAUGCAAAUCAACUCUUUGAGAUGAUGUUGACUCAAGGUUGCAUUCCUAAUGCUGUUACUUAUAGUGCCUUGAUUGAUGGCCACUGUAAAGCUGGAGAGACUGAAAAGGCUUGCCUGAUUUAUGCAAGAAUGAGAGGUGAUGUAAAUGUCCCUGAUGUUGAUAUGUAUUUCAAAAUUGCUGAUCAGAGUUUGAAAGAGCCUAAUGUUCAUACUUAUGGAGCUUUGGUGGAUGGUUUAUGUAAAGCCAACAAGGUCAAAGAGGCCGGUGAGUUAUUGGAUGCUAUGUUCGUAGAAGGUUGUGAACCUAACCACAUUGUUUAUGACGCUCUUAUAGAUGGAUUUUGCAAGUCUGGGAAGCUCGAUGAAGCACAAAAGGUGUUUGCCAAAAUGUCAGAGCACGGGUAUAGUCCAAAUGUGUACACGUACAGCUCCUUGAUUGACAGGUUGUUCAAGGAUAAAAGACUGGAUCUUGUUUUAAAAGUCUUGUCUAAAAUGUUAGAAGAAUCUUGUUCACCAAAUGUUGUUAUCUAUACAGAGAUGGUCGAUGGCCUUUGUAAGGUUGGAAAGACUGAUGAAGCUUAUAAGCUUAUGUUAAUGAUGGAAGAAAAAGGAUGUAAUCCUAACGUUGUGACUUACACUGCAAUGAUAGAUGGCCUUGGGAAAGCAGGCAGAAUAGACAAAUGUCUUGAGCUCUUUAAAACAAUGAGCUCCAAUGGUUGUGCUCCCAAUUUUAUCACCUACAAGGUUCUGAUUAACCAUUGCUGUGCACAUGGUCUUUUGGAUGAAGCUCAUAAACUUUUGGAUGAAAUGAAACAAACAUAUUGGCCAAAGCAUCUGGCAGGCUACCGUAAAGUUAUUGAAGGUUACAACCGAGAGUUCAUAGCCUCACUUGGGCUUUUAAGUGAGAUAAGUGAGUGUGAUUCGUUGCCAAUCGCUCACAUAUACAGAGUUUUGGUUGAUAAUUUUGUUAAGGCUGGAAGACUGAACGUGGCUCUGGAGCUGCAUGAAGAGAUUUCUUCUUCUACCCCUUUUACAUCUGCUAACAAGGAUAUGUAUACUUUACUGAUUGAGAACCUGUCACAUGCAAAUAAGGCUGAUAAGGCACUGCAGAUGUUUGCAGAAAUGAUAAGGCUGGGUGGUUAUCCAGAGCUUAGUACAUUUUUCCACCUUAUCAAAGGGCUUAUUAAAAUUAAUAGGUGGGAUGAAGCUCUUCAACUAUCGGAUAGCAUAUGUCAGAUGGUUUGUCUCUCUAACUCCCUUCUCUUUCUUACCACAAUACAUUAUAAUACUCAAAUCUAUUCUUUUACAUGAAUUUGUCAAAUAUCAGAUGCUUGUUAUACCCUUUGAUAUGUUGUGGGAAUCUAAUUCCUAUUUAGGUGUGUGCACGGUGCAGUAUCAAACAGUGUUACUAAACGUAUCUUAAGGCUGCAUCUUUUAUUAUGCCGCUAUUAGUUUUUUCUUUCUCAUUCUUCUGGGAUGAGAGGAGCCUUUCUGACCCAAAAAAGGAAAUCAUUGUGCAUUAGUUUUUAUUUUCCUUCUUUCCCUUCUUACUUCUUAUAUUAAUUGUUCAUUCUCAAUUUAUUGAGCAGGAUAUCCAAUGGCUUCUGCAAGAAGAGACGUAUGACAGGAAGUAGUUUCUUUUCUAACCCAUUGAUUUAUGUGCACUCAUUCAGUCUGAUGACUCACUGGACAAAGGAUGGGCCCAAGGCUUGUGUCAGAUUAUGCUGAAUGGGCAUAUGGAGGUCACUGCUGCUAGAAUUUGUUUACCGCAAAAGGUUAGGAACUCAGCAUACUUUUUUUGACGCCUCUGGACAGCAGCGUUCAUGUGUGCUACUGUUUGAUUGCUACUUGCUGGUAAACUUACUAUACUCUUCAUCAUGAUAAGUAUCGAUAUGUCUAGCUCUGGCUCUGCCAGUAUACUGCUGAUGUUACUCAUCGAGUGCAAAGUUAACCGGUUUUGAUAUCAUGGGGAAGUUGUUGCUUUAUAGUUAAAUCAUGUCUAGGUACUGGAGUGGGUCUUUCCAAACUAUGUUUUGUUGAUAGGACAUGUGGGUGAACAACAUGCACGUACAUUUUUAUCAUUCCUCAGAGUACUCUCUAUACUCAAUUUGGAAAUGGGGCUUAGGUUAUACGCAAUUUUCUCACUUCUCUGAAGGGGGCGAGGUAGCACAAUUGCCGUGUUUGCAUGGGAUUUUAGAGGGGUUUCCUCAAUUUUUGUUUUUGUUUUUUUUUGGUUUUAUUCCUUUUUUUUUUUCUUUUUUUCUUUUUUUUUUUCUGUUAUUUUUUUUUCCUUCAAUUGUGAACUUAUAAAAUAUAAGACUGAAACUGGAACUUGGCAGUUAAAAAUUACGUGUAGGCUUUAGUGAGCAUUUGAUUGGGUAUCCAUGAUAGUGUAAGUUGUACAUUUUUUGCCCAAGUACUUGUGGUCGACGAAGUUUAUGAUUCAAGUCAUACUUGCUCAUCAUUCAGCUGAUUGAAUCUUCGCCAAUUUAGUUCUGUCAUUUAUAUAAGUUAUCUAUCUGGUUAUAUUUUGUAUAUGGAAGGUGAAAGAAAAUUUGGGUGGAAGAAUAGAUGCAAUCCUGAACGUAGACUGAGAGGUCCGUUGAGUUUUCAUGGGACUGUGUGUGGUCCUUUAAGUUCUUAGAUUUUUUAUGUUCCUUGGAUUAUGGUCAAUUUUGUUCUCUGUAUUUCCACUGUAGGGAAAAUUCCCAAGAUUUCACUCACAAAUCAGUUUAAUUGUGGGAGUCAGAGUCCUUGAACGUAGCAUGAAAGAAGGGCCAUGGGAAGACAAUUGUCCAGAAUUUAUUUAGCAGCAGGUCCAGCCCACAAGAGAACUAGAACAGUUGAGGGAAUCCAUCUGCUUGAUCCACUAUUGAAGGUAUUCUUUCUGCUGAUGGAUUGUUUGAUUUGUUGCUAAACUUGUUGCACAAAAGUGAUGCAUUGUGUUUCUCAAAUGUUUUCUAAAAAGAGAUUGAGUCGGUUAUUCUUUUCAUUGAACAAUUAAAUAAUUUCUCAGAAAACCCUGAGUAAUUAUGUCCUAGACAUUACCAUUUUAGUUAAUUACACCUGAUCUAUCCUUUUAAGGCAUAUGGUCUUACGUAGUCUGAUGUUUUCAGUUCUAUUCAAGCACUUCCAUGUCCUUCAGCUAAGUUUUAAAUCUAAUGAAGACUGACGUUAUUACAGACAGAUACGAUGACCAAGAUGUUUAUUAUUAAGUGGAGCAAGUGUUACCUCUAUGAUUCUUAAAAAUAAAAACAAUCCUUUUCUCUUUUCUCUACUGUUUAUUUUUUUCUUUGCCCCGUCAACUUUUCUUCCCUUUUUAUUCUUGGAUGAAACAAGUGCCUUUUGAAAUUGCAUGCUUUUGUUGGGUGAAGUUUGUAAGUGUCUUGGCUGACCGAUUCCUAUUACAAGUCUCGCACAUAGGUCGCAGGAUGCUAAUUGCCACUUUCAAAUUUGUUUUCUUUGUUUCUUGUUAUAGAUAUUUUCAUCCUCUAGGACAUGCCAUCAACAUGGUUUAGUACAUCUGAUGCAAAACCAAAAGAAGUCAGGAAGAGAGAGUGGGUUUGUUUCAGCAAUGAUUAGGAAUCAACAUGGGAAGCUCUAGCAGAAUGUUCAAUAUCUCUUGAUUGCACUGAUGGGACCCUUUCAGUAUAUUACCUAAUGCAUAACUCUUUCCAAGCAAUAGUUAACUCUUUCCAAGCAAUAGUUAGGUGAAUCUGUGGGAAGGAUGAAUUAGUGUGAUCUACCAAUGAGAAUGUCAUGAGAGUUAGUGUGUCAAGUUCACUGACAAAAUGAAGUUGAUAUCUGGCAGGUUAAGGUUGAAUUUGAUUUUGGGGGUGAAGGCAAUGAUAAUGAUAUGAAAUUCAAGGCGAGGGUUGUACGCUGGUGCUCAGUGCUCUUAUGUUUACUAUGGCAAAUGAAAAUGACUGUUGUUUUAUAUACCGUAGUAUAGAUUACAAACUUACCAAAUAAUUACCUUGUAGGUAACUUUUGUUGAACCCCUGCAGAGAAAAAGAAAAUUAAAAAGAAACUGCAAGCCCAAGCCAAAAUUUACCCAUUCCCAGAGGUCUAUAUAUCCAAUUGGAUGUUCCGUGGCGGAGUGUGUAGGAUAAGACUUAAAACUGGGAUGCAGGUUCAACCCGGAUGAUCAUAGUCAUCGCGCCAAUAUGUAACAAACAUAUGUAAAAGAUUCAUGCAUCAAGUGAAACUGUCUAUUCAACAUUCCUCGAAUAAUUUUUUUUUUUCGACAAGAUACAAAAAUUUACAAGAUUCCACAAAUCAGAAUAAAAAGAGGGACAGAGGCACAGAAGAGUGAGGGUCAGGCUUGAACUCCAAACUGAUUUUGCAAGAGCAUUGAUCCUUGCUUUAUGUGCUUCGAGGAAGAGAUACGGAACAGUACGGCAAAUCGCCGGAUAUCCUGAAUUAUAGGUAAGACGCGCUAGGGACAAGCUAUUUGUUGAUCGACACUGUUGAUGACGAUAUUUGAAUCUCCUUAGACCAAGAAAUGAGUGAAGCCAUGAUACUAAGUAGCGAUCAGGCCAGCUUGAAGAGCUAAAGCUUUCAUUGUGAGAAUCUUAGGAUGUCCAGUUUUUUUUGGUUGGAGCUAGGAUUGGUUGUCCUUUAGAAUUUCGGAAAACAAAGCCGGAGGCUGUAGAAUGGUUAACUGAACCAUCAAAACUAAGUUUAGGCAAUUUGGAAAGGGGGUGGUGAAGGAGUUGUAUCCUAAAACAAUCAUUUUGAUGUAAUUAUUAUUGUAGUUAUUAUUAAUCAAAAUGACAAGUUUAUUGUUCAUUGUUUAUCUUUAAU
rnacentral:lncRNA from 1 species